rnacentral:rRNA from 1 species
CACAAGCGGUGGAGCAUGUGGUUUAAUUCGAUGCAACGCGAAGAACCUUACCUACUCUUGACAUCCAGAGAAUUUAGCAGAGAUGCUUUAGUGCCUUCGGGAACUCUGAGACAGGUGCUGCAUGGCUGUCGUCAGCUCGUGUUGUGAAAUGUUGGGUUAAGUCCCGCAACGAGCGCAACCCUUAUCCUUUGUUGCCAGCGAUUCGGUCGGGAACUCAAAGGAGACUGCCGGUGAUAAACCGGAGGAAGGUGGGGAUGACGUCAAGUCAUCAUGGCCCUUACGAGUAGGGCUACACACGUGCUACAAUGGCGUAUACAAAGAGAAGCGACCUCGCGAGAGCAAGCGGAACUCAUAAAGUUCGUCGUAGUCCGGAUU